UACGGGGGGGGCAAGCGUUGUUCGGAAUUACUGGGCGUAAAGGGCGCGUAGGCGGCCACCGCAAGUCGGUUGUGAAAUCUCCGGGCUUAACCCGGAAAGGUCAAUCGAUACUGCGGGGCUAGAGUGCAGAAGGGGCAACUGGAAUUCUCGGUGUAGCGGUGAAAUGCGUAGAUAUCGAGAGGAACACCAGUGGCGAAGGCGAGUCCCUGGACAAAACCUGACACUGAGGCACGAAAGCUAGGGGAGCAAACAGG
rnacentral:rRNA from 1 species